rnacentral:tRNA from 1 species
GGAGAGGGUGUGGGCUUAGAGGUAGAGCAUCUGAUCGCCAUGCAGAAGAGCCCAUGUUCAAUCCCCGGCAUCUCCA